rnacentral:RNase_P_RNA from 2 species
CCAGUUGGUCGGAGAACCGCGCUUGACGCAAGUCAGGUGAGGAAAGUCCGGACUUCACGGAAAUACGGUGCCGGUUAACGACCGGGCAGGGCGACUUGACGGACCAGUGCAACAGAGAAUAAACCGCCGAUGGCCUGCUUUGCAGGAUCAGGUAAGGGUGAAACGGUGCGGUAAGAGCGCACCACUCGUCUGGUAACAGAACAGGUAUGGCAAACCCCACCGGAAGCAAGACCAAAUAGGGGCUGCGCAUGAUCUAUUUCCGGAUCGUGGCCCGGGUAGGUUGCUGGAGGUUUGUGGUAACACAAAUCCAAGAGGAAUGGUUCUCGCCCCUUCGGGGGUACAGAAUCCGGCUUAUAGACCAACUGGCAUU